AUUCUUUUCCAGAUCAUAAGCAUGAUGACUCAGUAUUCACACAAUUGUGUGAGAUUUACCUCUCUUAAACCUUAAGCCAUUGGCACAUUACCAAAUUAACU